AUUAGUCUAUCAGAUGUGCAUGGAUUGCUUUGUCAUGCUUGCAUAUCUUUGAAGUGAUUAUCAAAAAGAAAAAAAUGUUGGAGCUAUUCAUUUCAUUGAGGCCUGAUAUUAAUAGGUAACAACAACAACCCUAGUUUGGAUGAUGGUUAACUUUGUCAUAGUGGUGAAAGUAUCAUUCUUGUCAGUCUCUUAAAAUUGUGACCUUAAUUAACUACUUUUGUUGAACAUUGAACAAUUAUGUUAGGCAGUCUACUCUAUGUCUGAUGAUAAAGCCUUGGGUCAAAUGCGGAUUUCCACAUCUAUUCUUCAAGAAAUAUUGACAAGUUAUUGGGAAGGAUGUGUGUUGAGCAGUGAGACAAUUCUUUGUAGCAAAUACAAAGCCUCUGAGUUGGAAAGAGACCUAUUUGGCUUUGACCUUGAAAAGACUGGAUGCCUUGCAACCGCCCCCAUUAUUGCUGUUUCAGUUGGUGUACAACACUGUACAGGAUCAUUGCCAAAAUUCUGGUUGGCAGAAUGUGGCCAAUGUUGGGGGAUCUCAUUAGUUCGGACUAGGAAGCUUUUGGCGAG
rnacentral:lncRNA from 1 species